rnacentral:rRNA from 1 species
UACAGAGGUCUCAAGCGUUGUUCGGAUUCAUUGGGCGUAAAGGGUGCGUAGGCGGCGCGGUAAGUCGGGUGUGAAAUCUCGGAGCUUAACUCCGAAACUGCAUUCGAUACUGCCGUGCUUGAGGACUGGAGAGGAGACUGGAAUUUACGGUGUAGCGGUGAAAUGCGUAGAUAUCGUAAGGAAGACCAGUGGCGAAGGCGGUGCUCUGGGCCGGUACUGACGCUGAGGAGCGAAAGCGUGGGGAGCAAACAGG